UUUAUUCUGUGGGAUUUAAGUUUUUGUCCWUAAACCUGGGGAUAAAUCCAUGUAAGUUACAGACAACUUGACAUUUAUGGUAACUUGUUCUGUGGGCAAGGACGGACUGGCCUUUGGACGUAGCGGGAGUUUUCCCGGUGGGCCGGUGCUGGCAUCCCAGGAAAAUAUGAAAUAAAGUUGUGUAGUUGGGCUCAAAACCAGUAGGUGGCGAUAAUGCACCAAUUAGUUUACCAAACACAAACAAAGACCACAGAAGAAGAAAAAGGUAGUAAAAGAAGAAGAAGAAUAAAAAUGGAGAAGAAAGAAAGGGAGGAGCUCAAAUAUUGAGAGUAAAGAAACGUUAACUARAAGCAAAUGAAGUUUUAUUUUCUGCUGGUGCAUCAUCCUCAUCCUGACUGAACCCACAGCUUUCUGCUGGAGUUUGGAGAAUGAUGCGACCAGGAGGAGGAUGGUAGUCAGUUUUGUACAUUACCCUGAGAUGAUGGUUAUUGUUUCCACCUCCAGCCCGGUCCUUCAGUGGACCAGUCAGGAACACACUUGACUGUCAGUAAAGUGGUGACUCAGUGAAGAAGAGAGAGAAGGACAGGGAAGAGCAGCAAUUACCUGUAAUGAUGAAACAGCAAACAUCCCCAUGGCAACCUUUCUCCCAAUUCUCAGAAUCCUGAUGAUGCUGCAGAAGCUGGAGUAGGCCUCACUCUUAUAUAAUCUGUAGUGUGAGAGAGGACUGCAAAAAACAUGUUGUUUUAUGUCUGAUCAAGUCAAACACCUGGGUUGUUUUUUCUGUUAAAGCUGCCACUUGUUUUUAAACACAAGCAGGAGCUUUUCCCAGCCUGUUUAGAUGACAGAGAAUCAUCAUCCUGGGAGGUCGGUGGUCCCAGCUUCCGCUCUCAGGGUCUCUGCAGGCUUUGUGUCAGUGAACACGAGGAGGACAACCUGACUGAGGCUCAGCAAUCAGCUCGUAAAAUAAAUGGGUGAAAACAAUCGAUGUUCAGGAGUG